rnacentral:tRNA from 1 species
GCGGUUGUCGUCUAGCCUGGUCUAGGACGUCAGCCCUCCAAGCUGAAGAUCGCGGGUCCAAAUCCCGCCGACCGCA